rnacentral:rRNA from 1 species
GACGAACGCUGGCGGCGCGCUUAACACAUGCAAGUCGAGCGAGAACCCACCUUCGGGUGGGGGAAAGCGGCGAACGGGUGAGUAACACGUGAGUAAUCCACCCUCGGUACCGGGAUAGCCCGGGGAAACCCGGAUUAAUACCGGAUGGCCCAUUAGCUCUUCGGGGCGAAUGGAAAAGGUAGCUUUGGCCUCCGACCGAGGACGAGCUCGCGGCGGAUUAGCUUGUUGGUGGGGUAAAGGCCCACCAAGGCGACGAUCCGUAGCGGUCUGAGAGGACGAUCAGCCACACUGGGACUGAGACACGGCCCAGACUCCUACGGGAGGCAGCAGUGGGGAAUCUUGCGCAAUGGGCGAAAGCCUGACGCAGCGACGCCGCGUGAGGGAAGAAGGCCUUCGGUUGUAA